CAGCGGGAAAGUAGCUUGCUACUUUUGCCGGCGAGUGGCGAACGGGUGAGUAAUGUAUCGGAACGUGCCCAGUAGCGGGGGAUAACUACGCGAAAGCGUGGCUAAUACCGCAUACGCCCUACGGGGGAAAGGGGGGGAUCUUAGGACCUCUCACUAUUGGAGCGGCCGAUAUCGGAUUAGCUAGUUGGUGGGGUAAAGGCCUACCAAGGCGACGAUCCGUAGCUGGUUUGAGAGGACGACCAGCCACACUGGGACUGAGACACGGCCCAGACUCCUACGGGAGGCAGCAGUGGGGAAUUUUGGACAAUGGGGGAAACCCUGAUCCAGCCAUCCCGCGUGUGCGAUGAAGGCCUUCGGGUUGUAAAGCACUUUUGUCAGGGAAGAAAAGGUUUCGGAUAAUACCCGGAACUGAUGACGGUACCUGAAGAAUAAGCACCGGCUAACUACGUGCCAGCAGCCGCGGUAAUACGUAGGGUGCAAGCGUUAAUCGGAAUUACUGGGCGUAAAGCGUGCGCAGGCGGUUCGGAAAGAAAGAUGUGAAAUCCCAGGGCUCAACCUUGGAACUGCAUUUUUAACUACCGAACUAGAGUAUGUCAGAGGGGGGUGGAAUUCCACGUGUAGCAGUGAAAUGCGUAGAUAUGUGGAGGAACACCGAUGGCGAAGGCAGCCCCCUGGGAUAAUACUGACGCUCAUGCACGAAAGC
rnacentral:rRNA from 1 species